rnacentral:tRNA from 1 species
UGGCUCAGACAGUAAAGUGUCUGUCUGCAAAGCAGGAGACCCGGGUUCGAUCCCUGG